GUGACCGCGGCGGGCGGGCGCUGCGGUCCUGACGCGCCGCCUCUACUUUCGCAGGCCGACUCGCGGACCGGUGCACCCACCGCCAAGGACAAAAGGAGCCCAGCGCUACUAGCUGCACCCGAUUCCUCCCAGUGCUUAGCAUGAAGAAGGCCGAAAUGGGACGGUUCAGUAUUUCCCCGGAUGAAGACAGCAGCAGCUACAGUUCCAACAGCGACUUCAACUACUCCUACCCCACCAAGCAAGCUGCUCUGAAAAGCCAUUAUGCAGAUGUAGAUCCUGAAAACCAGAACUUUUUACUUGAAUCGAAUUUGGGGAAGAAGAAGUAUGAAACAGAAUUUCAUCCAGGUACUACUUCCUUUGGAAUGUCAGUAUUUAAUCUGAGCAAUGCGAUUGUGGGCAGUGGAAUCCUUGGGCUUUCUUAUGCCAUGGCUAAUACUGGAAUUGCUCUUUUUAUAAUUCUCUUGACAUUUGUGUCAAUAUUUUCCCUGUAUUCUGUUCAUCUCCUUUUGAAGACUGCCAAUGAAGGAGGGUCUUUAUUAUAUGAACAAUUGGGAUAUAAGGCAUUUGGAUUAGUUGGAAAGCUUGCAGCAUCUGGAUCAAUUACAAUGCAGAACAUUGGAGCUAUGUCAAGCUACCUCUUCAUAGUGAAAUAUGAGUUGCCUUUGGUGAUCCAGGCAUUAACGAACAUUGAAGAUAAAACUGGAUUGUGGUAUCUGAACGGGAACUAUUUGGUUCUGUUGGUGUCAUUGGUGGUCAUUCUUCCUUUGUCGCUGUUUAGAAAUUUAGGAUAUUUGGGAUAUACCAGUGGCCUUUCCUUGUUGUGUAUGGUGUUCUUUCUGAUUGUGGU
rnacentral:sRNA from 1 species